GCACAGCCGGGUGGCGGAGGGGAGUAUGAAGUGCAGGAGGGGUUUGGCUGGACCAACGGAGUGGCCCUGAUGCUCCUGGACCGCUAUGGUGACCGGCUGAGCUCGGGGACCCAGCUGGCGCUCCUGGAGCCCCACUGCCUGGCCGCUGCCCUCCUGCUCAGCUUCCUAACACGGUGACCACAGGGCGGCCUCCCUGCACCUCUGUUCAUUAAACCUCUCACCGGCCCCGC